GAAUUUUGUCAAUUAUCACCAAAAUGUCAAAUUGAUUCUCAUUUUGAGUCCGCAGGACCACAGAUCUUUACAAACUGUCACUGUAACCAAGAUUGUGAAACAUCCAUCAAAUGUUAUUGAAAUUCAAAUGAAGAAAUCUGGGUUUUCAUAUUUACCUUGUCAGGUUAGGUCAUAAAAUAUUCACAUAUUUCUUCAUAACCGUCAUUUCUUAUAGAUUUUUCACUGUUUCAGUGUGCACCAAUAAAGACUUUUUUGUGCAAAAUACUAUGUUGACUGUCAAUGGUUUGGUUAUUGAGGGACUGGGGCUUUCUUAUUUAUUGAAAAAUAACUUUUUUCGCGGUGUUCUCUGAUCUGACGUUCUACAUUUAUUAUAAAUUAUUCAUUGUUGUAAUGUACAAAUUAUGACAUUUUGACAUGCUAUGGUCAGCGAGU